UCCUGUGAAAAGCAGAAUGAGAUAAGAGUUAGGUACAAUGAAUGUUACAUUUGCUGUUUGCUAACAAGACUCCAGAACGGGUAGCAUACAAAGUAGUUCCUAUGUAUGAGAGUUUUGAAUCCCUGAGAUUUCAUUUUCUUUCUAAGGAGUGGGAAAAGAAGUUGGGUUGUUUAUUUAGCAAAAUAAUUCAUUUGAGUCUAGAAAAAUACAAUAAGAAUUACUAACAUACAGAAGUAAUAUACUGGAUUGGUUGAAAAGUAGGCUGUAAUGGAUGCUUUGCAAAUUGGGUCAGCAAUCCCAUUUUUACUUUCUCCCCGUUGAUUUCAUUAUGCUGAAAGGUCAAUCAACAGUUCUGUAAGGAGCAGGAACAAGGAUCAGAGAUAGGGAAAAAAAAUAACUUCUUAAAAAUCCAUGACAGAAAUGAGAUUUUUCGUUUGCAUCAUCAAAAUAAAAUGCCAUUUCUUCCCACAGUCUGAGAAUGAAAACAUCCUAAACUGCUUCCCUCUCUCUGCACAUGGAGGCGGCCACUUGCAAGCUACCUGUAGCAGAGACUUCUAGUAUCACCCCAGUCUGCCAGGCCAUCUCCCAUUGGACUUGUUAUCAUAUAAAACAAGAUGAGGAAAUUUCAGCACUGCACGUAUUGAAACUGCUUUAGUUGAUUCUGUUGCACAUAGGAGCAACUGGAACAGAUGCUUACCUAAGCUGUUACCUCCACAACCCUGCAAGAUCCGUCUCGCUCGCUUUUUUGCAUCUUCUGGAAAACUUGGGCUGUCCAACAGGUUUGGGUAUGUGCACAGUGCCACUACCUAGAGUGCCAAGAAAGCUGUAAAUUGGCCACUGCUCAACGGUUAUUUCAAGUUGGUAAUGUUUCUGUGAACUUUCCUUGAGCAGGAGGAUCACAAAUACUAGGUAAUUUAAAUCAAAGGUUAUUGAUGAAGGGACUUGCAGUUGUUUCUUUAAGGGUAGUGCUUGCAGAAGUGAAGAAAUUCUAUCAGGUUCCAAGUUCUGCUGAUAAAAGCAGUUAUAGAGUUGUUAACUAUUUGUAUUACGGAUGGUAAACACUGGAAUCCAAGUGAGCUAUGCGUAGUGCAAACACAGUAAAACAGUUAGUUAUACAGAAGGGGAACUCUCUAAACAGGUCUGUCCUCCACUCUUUGUGUAUUAUUAGCCCACUUAAUUGACAAGAAAUAAAGAGAUUAGGUAAAGAACAGAACUGAAAAUAUGAUCAGAAUUUUAAAUCCCAGUAGCAUCUUCUGAUAAUUCUUUCCUAAAAGAACUCCUAACCAAUUAGAAUGUGUGGUAAUAUUUAAUUAAAAAAAGAAGUGAUGAUAUGGAACAUAGGAAAAGUAGAAACAUAACCUAACAGAAUUAGUUUAUGGAGGAAUGUAAGGCAUAAAGAUUCUGAAGGCCUUGCUUGAGAUCAGCUUUGAUUCACACUCUUGUUUUUAGGUUCACAUGGUGUCAAAUGGAUGGGCUGUUAUCAUCUCAUGGGAAGGUGACUAAAUAAUUGGACUGUGAGCAUAUACUGUCAUGGGGAGAAAGGGUUUCACAUUUACAUGGUAUUUUACUUAAUAACAUUGGUGGAUCUGAAUUUACUUGAAGAAAGCUUGGGUCUUUCUAGUUUGUGGGCAGUUUGCUGUGUAGCUCAAUUUUAUUGUCUCAGUAUGUAGAUACCCAGAAUGAUGCUGCUUCAGUGUGGCCUGUAACUCUCUAAAUUUGUAUGAUAGGCUCAGGAUUUUGUGUGCGAGUGAGGGAUGUUCUAGUAUGCUAUUUUUAUUAGCAUGCUAUUUAUUUAGAUAGUAUAAAAAUACUUUUAAUAAAUAAUAAAACAUAUCGUUUCAAAAUGGUAUGUGUUUAAA